rnacentral:rRNA from 1 species
AACGAACGCUGGCGGCAGGCCUAACACAUGCAAGUCGAGCGAGGACUUCGGUUCUAGCGGCGGACGGGUGAGUAACGCGUGGGAAUGUGCCCUUCUCUACGGAAUAGCCCUGGGAAACUGGGAGUAAUACCGUAUACGCCCUAUUGGGGAAAGAUUUAUCGGAGAAGGAUCAGCCCGCGUUGGAUUAGGUAGUUGGUGGGGUAAUGGCCUACCAAGCCGAAGAUCCAUAGCUGGUUUGAGAGGAUGAUCAGCCACACUGGGACUGGGACACGGCCGGGACUCCCACGAAAGGCAGCAGGCGGGAAUCUUAGACAAUGGGUGAGAGACUGAGCUUGCCGGGCCGUGUAAGUGAUGUAGUACAUAGGAUUGUAAAGCUCUGUCAGCUGGGAGGAUAGUGACGGUAACAGCAGAAGAAGCGCCGGCUAACUACGUG